rnacentral:sRNA from 10 species
UGAUACCAGGGUCAAAAGGUCUAAACCCACAUGAGCUUGCUCAUAGGUGGGUGAAAGACCUUGGGACCCGCCCCGAUAUGAGCAUAAAAGUGGGAUUAUAAUCCCACGAUAUGCGAAUAUUGGGGAGAAUUGUGGGAGUGCGUAGCACUGAGCAAUUCGUAGGUAUCA